CAGUUUCUGGUAGUGAACUAACACCGUCCUGGCGGGCACCCUCGCCGGCCUGAGUGUCCUUGGCUGGUACCUCCCGUUGAAGCCAAGAAGACGGAGGUCGUCGACUAAUUGUGGUCUAUGGACGUUGAUGCAUGGAAGUGGCAUUCUAGUGCCAUCGAGAUUGAUGAUGAAGAUGUUGUUACCUGCAAAAGUAUGAAGGCACCGGGGGAGAGAAGUGCCUUCGCGAGCGUCAACCGGAGGAGCCUGCAGGGUUCUCUAUAAAGGUGAUCCUGGACGGCGAGGGGUGCAAGGCGUUGUGCGCUGAGUUCUCCAAGGUCAUGCAACAGAAAAUGGAACAAGAGAAGCAGGAGAAGCUCGCACACAAGGUAUGCCAGCAUACAGUUCCUUGAACCGCUGAACUGGGUAGUGAGUUUUCAUGGUUUAUUUCCGUAGUUCUUCUCUUCUUGUGAUACCGUGUACAACAAAUUAGCACCCAUAUUUACAUGCCCAAUAGACAUGUAUGUUUUAGCCUCCUAUGUUGAAAUGCAUUACUAUAUAUGCUCUGUGCAUUACUAUCUCUUGAGCCAUUGAACUUUUUUUUCGAGAGAACACAAGAGAGCUUGUGUUUCAUUGCAUUGAAAAGAAAGAGAGUUUUGGUUACAUUCCUCCUAGGAGGUUGUUGCAAUGCUCAUGAGCACAUCAGUGGACGUCCCAUUUUUGGGGUGUGGUGGCACAAAGCCCUAAAGCACCGGCGCUAUCCACUAGUAGAAAAAGGGUCAAAUGUGCGACACAUUAGUCCCGGUUUGUAACAGAACCGGCACUAAUGUGUCCAUUAGUUCUAGUUCCAACGGCUAGGAGGGAGGAGCUCUUUACUAUCGGUUCGUGGCGAACCUCUAGCACCGGUUCGUGCCACAAAUCGGUACUUAAGAAAGUGGUGGCAGGAUGUUGUCAGAGUGGGGCCCCUCCAGCACCUUUAGUACCGGUUCGUGGCACGAACCGGUAUUAAAGGUCGUCCUAUAUAAACCCUUCGUCCACCCGCACUCUGUUCUUCCCCCUUACCCCUCUCCCUCUCCUCUGUUCUUCCCUUCUUCCUCUC